rnacentral:rRNA from 1 species
UACGUAGGUGGCAAGCGUUGUCCGGAAUUAUUGGGCGUAAAGCGCGCGCAGGCGGCCUCUUAAGUCUGAUGUGAAAAGCCCCCCGGCUCAACCGGGGGAGGGCCAUUGGAAACUGGGAGGCUUGAGUAUAGGAGAGAAGAGUGGAAUUCCACGUGUAGCGGUGAAAAUGCGUAGAGAUGUGGAGGAACACCAGUGGCGAAGGCGACUCUUUGGCCUAUAACUGACGCUGAGGCGCGAAAGCGUGGGGGAGCAAACAGG